UCAUAAUAAUUAUAAUAAUAUGCUGACGUCCCAUCAUCAUUGACAGGAGAAUAUUCUAGUCUAGGCUGUUUGGCUGACACUGAAAUUACAUUUGCAAAAGUGUGGUGCUUAAGUUUUGCCGAAUGAUUGAAGUUGUUAGUUCUGAAAAUAAUGGAAGUUUCUACCUUAGAUGCAUAGCGCAGCAUCGAGUAAAUUCAACACUCAACCUUAAUCCUAAUCUAAUUGAAAUUGGCUAAAAAACCCAGUUUUGAAGCGAAAAUUAAUGUUAUGUAUUCCAUGUAUAAAACUAGUAAAUUAUCAUCUUUGUUCUAAUCGUCACAUUGCAUGUUAAUCUGGAAUGUCUUUACGGAUGUAAUGGCUCGGUGAUAUAUGAAACAUAAACUAAUUGAAAUAAAUCUAUUGCUUUUUGAAAUUUUCAGUGCUUGCUGUUAAUGAGAAAAC
rnacentral:misc_RNA from 1 species